CCUACGGGCGGCAGCAGUGGGGAAUAUUGGGCAAUGGGCGCAAGCCUGACCCAGCAACGCCGCGUGAAGGAAGAAGGCUUUCGGGUUGUAUACUUCUUUUGUCAGGGACGAAGCAAGUGACGGUACCUGACGAAUAAGGCACGGCUAACUACGUGCCAGCAGCCGCGGUAAUACGUAGGUCGCAAGCGUUAUCCGGAUUUACUGGGUGUAAAGGGCGUGUAGGCGGGACUGUAAGUCAGAUGGGAAAACCACGGGCUCAACCUGUGGCCUGCAUUUGAAACUGUAGUUCUUGAGUACUGGAGAGGCAGACGGAAUUCCUAGUGUAGCGGUGAAAUGCGUAGAUAUUAGGAGGAACACCAGUGGCGAAGGCGGUCUGCUGGACAGCAACUGACGCUGAGGCGCGAAAGCGUGGGGAGCAAACAGGAUUAGAUACCCCGGUAGUC
rnacentral:rRNA from 1 species